rnacentral:precursor_RNA from 15 species
UAUAUAGUGUUCUAUAGCUGCUUAACCGAUGCUUUGGCGCUUUAGCUGUAUGAUAGAUUUAAAUACUUCAUAAAGCUAGAUUACCAAAGCAUUGGCUUCCGCAGGCCUGUCUUCAAGGAAUA